rnacentral:rRNA from 1 species
UACGAAGGGUGCAAGCGUUACUCGGAAUCACUGGGCGUAAAGCGUGCGUAGGCGGUUCGUUAAGUCUGCUGUGAAAAGCCCCUGGGCUCAACCUGGGAACUGCAGUGGAUACUGGCGGACUAGAGUGUGAUAGAGGAUGGUGGAAUUCCCGGUGUAGCGGUGAAAUGCGUAGAGAUCGGGAGGAACACCAGUGGCGAAGGCGGCCAUCUGGAUCAACACUGACGCUGAGGCACGAAAGCGUGGGGAGCAAACAGGG